rnacentral:rRNA from 1 species
UACGUAGGGUGCAAGCGUUAAUCGGAAUUACUGGGCGUAAAGCGCGCGUAGGCGGCUUUGCAAGUCGGGUGUGAAAUCCCCAGGCUUAACCUGGGAACUGCAUUCGAGACUGCAUUGCUAGAGUAUGGGAGAGGGAAGUGGAAUUUCCGGUGUAGCGGUGAAAUGCGUAGAUAUCGGAAGGAACAUCAGUGGCGAAAGCGACUUCCUGGACGGUCACUGACGCUGAGGCACGAAAGCGUGGGUAGCAAACAGG